AGGCAGCAGAGACUUCCUCCCAUAGAAGAAUAACCCUAGUAACACCCACCAAACUAAAGAGAAUGGCUUUUUGACUGAGGGACUGAGUCCACAUUUCAAGUCCUAGUUGGGGAGGAGCAUGGAGCUGUUUCUGCAAGUUGUUUUGGUGAUUUUAUGGCUUCCAGUGGACUGGUCAAGCAGCCAAAAGAUAGAACAGAAUCCUCAGGCUCUGAACACCCAAGAGGGUGAAGAGGCCGUUCUGACCUGUAGCUAUGCAAAUUAUUUUCCAACAUUUUUCCAGUGGUACAGAGAAGAUCCAGGAAGAGGCCUUACCUUCUUGCUACUAAUACGUGAAAGUGAGCGAACAAAAUCGACAAGAAGACUGAAGGCAACCUUUGAUACCACAAAUAAACAGAGUUCCUUUUACAUCACAAACUCCCAGCCUGCAGACUCAGCCACCUACUUCUGUGCUUCAGACACACAGCAGGGCCCUGCCACCCACUUCCUGCACCCAAACCCUGUUAACCAUUCCCAGUCAACAGAGCUGCUGGCUGUGCUAUUCCCAAAGGCUUACUGCAGCUCCACUGGCAAAGUGCUUUACCAGUGGCAAAACAAUGUGGUGGUUAUUUGA